rnacentral:rRNA from 1 species
UAGGGAAUCUUCGGCAAUGGGGGCAACCCUGACCGAGCAACGCCGCGUGAGUGAAGAAGGUUUUCGGAUCGUAAGGCUCUGUUGUAAGAGAAGAACGUGUGUGAGAGUGGAAAGUUCACACAGUGACGGUAACUUACCAGAAAGGGACGGCUAACUACGUGCCAGCAGCCGCGGUAAUACGUAGGUCCCGAGCGUUGUCCGGAUUUAUUGGGCGUAAAGCGAGCGCAGGCGGUUUAAUAAGUCUGAAGUUAAAGGCAGUGGCUUAACCAUUGUUCGCUUUGGAAACUGUUAAACUUGAGUGCAGAAGGGGAGAGUGGAAUUCCAUGUGUAGCGGUGAAAUGCGUAGAUAUAUGGAGGAACACCGGUGGCGAAAGCGGCUCUCUGGUCUGUAACUGACGCUGAGGCUCGAAAGCGUGGGGAGCAAACAGG